GACGAACGCUGGCGGCGUGCUUAACACAUGCAAGUCGAACGCUGAAGCUUGGUGCUUGCCCUGGGUGGAUGAGUGGCGAACGGGUGAGUAAUACGUGAGUAACCUGCCCUUGACUCUGGGAUAAGCCUGGGAAACUGGGUCUAAUACUGGAUACGACAUGCCACUGCAUGGUGGUGUGUGGAAAGGGUUUUACUGGUUUUGGAUGGGCUCACGGCCUAUCAGCUUGUUGGUGGGGUAAUGGCCUUCCAAGGCGACGACGGGUAGCCGGCCUGAGAGGGUGACCGGCCACUCUGGGACUGAGACACGGCCCAGACUCCUACGGGAGGCAGCAGUGGGGAAUAUUGCACAAUGGGCGGAAGCCUGAUGCAGCGACGCCGCGUGAGGGAUGACGGCCUUCGGGUUGUAAACCUCUUUCAGCACGGAAGAAGCGAGAGUGACGGUACGUGCAGAAGAAGCGCCGGCUAACUACGUG
rnacentral:rRNA from 1 species